AUUUAGAGGAAGGAGAAGUCGUAACAAGGUUUCCGUAGGUGAACCUGCGGAAGGAUCAUUGUCGAAACCUGCAAUAGCAGAACGACCCGUGAACAUAUCAUCGAACUAUUGGGGUCGCGAGGGCCUCCGGUCCUUGUCGAUCCCGCAGGCCUGGGGGAGGAAUCUCCCUCGCCCAGGCUUCUUAACCAACCCCGGCGCGAUACGCGCCAAGGAAUUGUAAAUGCAAAGGGACACCUCCGGCGAGCCUCGGAGACGAUGAGCUCGCAGGAUGCGAUGUCCUCUUUUGAUAACCAAAACGACUCUCGGCAACGGAUAUCUCGGCUCUCGCAUCGAUGAAGAACGCAGCGAAAUGCGAUACUUGGUGUGAAUUGCAGGAUCCCGCGAACCAUCGAGUUUUUGAACGCAAGUUGCGCCCGAAGCCUUUUGGCCGAGGGCACGUCUGCCUGGGUGUCACGCAACCGUCGCCCCAAACCCUCUGCCCACAAUGUGGGCUGAGAGGGGCGGAUGCUGGCCUCCCGUGGGCUGCCCGCUCGCGGUUGGCCCAAAUUCAUGGUCCCCGGCGACGAUUCGUCGUGGCAAUCGGUGGUUGUAAGACCCUCUGGUGCCGCCGCGUGCGAUCGUCUGCCCCCAUGGACAUCCGAGACCCUAAUGCGUCCUCAUUCGAGGCAUGCUCGCUCUGCGACCCCAGGUCAGGCGGGACUACCCGCUGAGUUUAAGCAU
rnacentral:misc_RNA from 1 species